rnacentral:rRNA from 1 species
UACAGAGGGUGCAAGCGUUGUUCGGAAUUAUUGGGCGUAAAGCGCGUGUAGGCGGCUUUGCAAGUCGGGUGUGAAAGCCCUCAGCUCAACUGAGGAAGUGCGCCCGAAACUGCAGAGCUUGAGUGCCGGAGAGGGUGGCGGAAUUCCCCAAGUAGAGGUGAAAUUCGUAGAUAUGGGGAGGAACACCGGUGGCGAAGGCGGCCGACCUGGACGGUAACUGGACGCUGAGACGCGAAAGCGUGGGGAGCAAACAGG